rnacentral:rRNA from 1 species
UAAAAUGGGAGGUAAAUUUCUCCUAAGGCUAAAUAACGGCGAGAGACCGAUAGCGAACAAGUACCGCGAGGGAAAGAUGAAAAGUACUUUGAAAAGAGAGUUAAACAGUACGUGAAAUUGUUGAAAGGGAAACGAUUGAAGCCAGUCGUACCAGCGGAUAAUCAGCCUUUAGAUGCGAUUUUGUGGAGCGUGAAGAGCUAAUCGCCUUCAUGCCUGUAUAUUCGUGUACUUGGGGUGUACUUAUUCGUGUGGUAAGUUAACAUCAAUUUUGGUUGUCAUAAAAUGAUUGGAGGAAUGUAGCUUCGAUCUCGUAUUGAAGUGUUAUAGCCUUUGGUAGAUGUGAUGAUCGGGAUUGAGGAUUGCAACGGAUACCCUUCGGGGCUACCUGUCUGAUCUCUGAUUGUUGCUUUGGUGCUGAAAGCUUGCUUAUGGUUAUCAAAGUCGAUGGUCAAUAGGUUAGAAUAGGUUAAAUUCGUUAAGGAUGUUGACGUAGUGGCUUUAAACGACCCGUCUUGAAACACGGACCGAGGAG